rnacentral:misc_RNA from 1 species
GGAAGGAUCAUUAUUGAAUAUGCUUGAUAGGUUGUAGCUGGCUCUUCGGAGUAUGUGCACGCUUAUCUUGACUUAAUUCAUCCACCUGUGCACCUUUUGUAGUCUUGGGGGUUGAGAUCGGUCGACUAUCGGAUGGCCAAGGUCAUUCCGGAUGUGAGGAAUGCUGAGUGCGAAAGCAUACAGCUCUUCUCAAAUGACUUGUCUUCCUCGAGUACUAUGUAUUCAUAUACCACAUAGUAUGUUGUAGAAUGUGAUCAAUGGGUCUAUGUACCUAUAAUAAUUAUAUACAACUUUCAGCAACGGAUCUCUUGGCUCUCGCAUCGAUGAAGAACGCAGCGAAAUGCGAUAAGUAAUGUGAAUUGCAGAAUUCAGUGAAUCAUCGAAUCUUUGAACGCACCUUGCGCUCCUUGGUAUUCCGAGGAGCAUGCCUGUUUGAGUGUCAUUAAAUUCUCAACCCCUCCAGCUUUUGCGAGUUGUGAUGGGGUUUGGAUAUGGGGGCUUGCGGGUCUUUACUGAUGUAAAGGUCAGCUCUCCUGAAAUACAUUAGCGGAACCGUUUGCAGUCCCGUCACUAGUGUGAUAAUUAUCUACACUGUGAUGGAUUGCUCUCUGACUAGUUCAGCUGCUAAUCGUCCGUUAUGGACAAUGUUUAAUGAACUUCUUGACCUCAAAUCAGGUAGGACUACCCGCUGAACUUAAGCAUAUCAAUAAGCGGAGGAAAAGAAACUAACAAGGAUUCCCCUAGUAACUGCGAGUGAAGCGGGAAAAGCUCAAAUUUAAAAUCUGGCGGUCUAUGGCUGUCCGAGUUGUAAUCUAGAGAAGUGAUGCCCGCGCUGGACCGUGUACAAGUCUCCUGGAAUGGAGCGUCAUAGAGGGUGAGAAUCCCGUCUCUGACACGGACUACCAGGGCUUUGUGGUAUGCUCUCAAAGAGUCGAGUUGUUUGGGAAUGCAGCUCUAAAUGGGUGGUAAAUUCCAUCUAAAGCUAAAUAUUGGCGAGAGACCGAUAGCGAACAAGUACCGUGAGGGAAAGAUGAAAAGAACUUUGGAAAGAGAGUUAAACAGUACGUGAAAUUGCUGAAAGGGAAACGCUUGAAGUCAGUCGCGUUAGCUAGGACUCAGCCUCGCUCUUGCGUGGUGUACUUUCUGGUUGACGGGUCAGCAUCAAUUUUGACUGCUGGAAAAAGGUCUUGGGAAUGUGGCAGCUUCGGCUGUGUUAUAGCCCUUGGUCACAUACAGCGGUUGGGAUUGAGGAACUCAGCACGCCGCAAGGCCGGGUUUCGACCACGUUCGUGCUUAGGAUGCUGGCAUAAUGGCUUUAAGCGACCCGUCUUGAAACACGGACCAAGGAGUCUAACAUGCCUGCGAGUGUUUGGGUGGUAAACCCGAGCGCGUAAUGAAAGUGAAAGUUGAGAUCCCUGUCGUGGGGAGCAUCGACGCCCGGACUUGAACUUUUGUGACGGAUCCGCGGUAGAGCAUGUAUGUUGGGACCCGAAAGAUGGUGAACUAUGCCUGAAUAGGGUGAAGCCAGAGGAAACUCUGGUGGAGGCUCGUAGCGAUUCUGACGUGCAAAUCGAUCGUCAAAUUUGGGUAUAGGGGCGAAAGACUAAUCGAACCAUCUAGUAGCUGGUUCCUGC